UGUGCUCUUCCGGUCUAAGAAAUAUGCGAGAUUUCGCUCUCGUGGCUUGAGACAAGGGUGGAAAUAAGGCCAGAAAAAACAAAAGAAGUUGGAGAAAGGUUAAGAUUCAGGAGUGGACACAUGUAUUAAAUGGUGGGUAUGGGUUUGAUGUUUGAAAGAACAUUAUUUGUCAGUGGCUCUUGUUUGUGUGGUCCCUGGUGACCCCCAACUGGAAACAGAUUCAAAAUCAGUGAUUCUUCCACAGGAAUUUGCUCAGUUCAGGAGGCUUUGGAGAAGAGGACUAUUCUGGAACAAAAAGUAACUGUUGGGAGUAAAAGGCCUGGAGUUCCUAUAUCUGUAAGGAAGGGUCUGGUACUUCUCUGGGGUCCCUGAUGCCCUGACUUGGCCUGGUAGUCCUUCUCUCUGACCUCUCUGAGAGUUUUCAGCAAAGAAGUAAAAUGACACUUCCACACAGAGCACCAUGCCCGUUGUCCUUUUGAAGUCCAGGAUCAGGGGUCAAGAUGAGUCACAGCUGGGCUUCCCUGGUGGCGCAGUGGUUGAAAGUCCGCCUGCCGAUGCAGGGGACGCGGGUCCGUGCCCCGGUCUGGGAAGA